AUUGAACGCUGGCGGCAUGCUUUACACAUGCAAGUCGAACGGCAGCACGGGCUUCGGCCUGGUGGCGAGUGGCGAACGGGUGAGUAAUAUAUCGGAACGUACCCAAGAGUGGGGGAUAACGUAGCGAAAGUUACGCUAAUACCGCAUACGAUCCAAGGAUGAAAGUGGGGGACCGCAAGGCCUCAUGCUCCUGGAGCGGCCGAUGUCGGAUUAGCUAGUUGGUGAGGUAAAAGCUCACCAAGGCGACGAUCCGUAGCAGGUCUGAGAGGAUGAUCUGCCACACUGGGACUGAGACACGGCCCAGACUCCUACGGGAGGCAGCAGUGGGGAAUUUUGGACAAUGGGGGCAACCCUGAUCCAGCCAUGCCGCGUGAGUGAAGAAGGCCUUCGGGUUGUAAAGCUCUUUCGGCGGGGAAGAAAUGGCAACGGCUAAUAUCCGUUGUUGAUGACGGUAUCCGCAUAAGAAGCACCGGCUAACUACGUGCCAGCCGCCGCAGUAAAAC
rnacentral:rRNA from 1 species